UGAAGGAUCUUGCAUUAAGUGGAGUCCUACCGGCUGAAUUCGGAAAUCUUACUAAUCUGAUACAACUUGAUCUCACUCUUAAUUAUAUCAAUGGAUCAAUUCCUCCGAGUUUUGCUCAGCUCCCUCUUGUCAAUCUGUCUCUUCUGGGAAACCGGCUAAGUGCUACAAUUCCAAAGGAAAUUGGUGACAUUACUUCACUUGAGCA